GGAAGGGUCGCAUAGUGGCCUAGUGCGCUCGCUUGGAAAGCGAGUGUGCCUUAAUCGGCACCGCGAGUUCGAAUCUCGCCCCUUCCGCAA
rnacentral:tRNA from 1 species